UACGUAUGGUGCAAGCGUUAUCCGGAUUUACUGGGUGUAAAGGGAGCGCAGGCGGCACGGCAAGCCUGGUGUGAAAGCCCGCGGCCCAACCGCGGGACUGCAUUGGGAACUACCGGGCUGGAGUGCCGGAGAGGUAGGCGGAAUUCCUAGUGUAGCGGUGAAAUGCGUAGAUAUUAGGAGGAACACCAGUGGCGAAGGCGGCCUACUGGACGGUGACUGACGCUGAGGCUCGAAAGCGUGGGGAGCAAACAGG
rnacentral:rRNA from 1 species